UACGUAGGCAGCAAGCGUUGUUCGGAGUUACUGGGCGUAAAGGGUGCGUAGGUGGCUCUAUAAGUAUGGUGUGAAAUCUCCCGCUUAACUGGGAGGGUGCGCCGUAGACUGUGGGGCUAGAGUGUGGGAGAGGAAAGUGGAAUUCCUGGUGUAGCGGUGAAAUGCGCAGAUAUCAGGAGGAACACCGGUGGCGAAGGCGGGUCUCUGGGCCGAAACUGGACGCU
rnacentral:rRNA from 1 species